rnacentral:rRNA from 1 species
ACGCUUCUCCGAAAGAUGCUUGCAUCUUUCAUAUGAGAAGAGUGGCGGACGGGUGAGUAACACGUGGGUAACCUGCCCUUCAGCGGGGGAUAACAUUUGGAAACAGAUGCUAAUACCGCAUAAUUGGUUUUGCCGCAGGGCAAAACUAUGAAAGACGCUUUACGGUGUCACUGAAGGAUGGACCCGCGCUGCAUUAGUUAGUUGGUGAGGUAAUGGCUCACCAAGACCGUGAUGCAUAGCCCACCUGAGAGGGUGAUCGGCCACACUGGGACUGAGACACGGCCCACACUCCUACGGGAGGCAGCAGUAGGGAAUCUUCGGCAAUGGACGAAAGUCUGACCGAGCAACGCCGCGUGAGUGAAGAAGGUUUUCGGAUCGUAAAACUCUGUUGUUAGAGAAGAACAAGUGGGAGAGUAACUGUUCCCACCUUGACGGUCUCUAACCAGAAAGCCACGGCUAACUACGUGCCA